GGAAAGCAAAGGGAAAGGCAGUAAGUAUGUGUCCAGCUGGUCUCCUGGAGAGCACAUGACAGAAACCCACCUGAAACGAGAUUAGGAGAGAGGCGAAGAGGACUAACCUGCUCAUGUAACCCAAACUGCAAGGAGAACAGACUCAGAGUGGCUGGAACAAACAGAGCUCUCCAGCUCUUUUUUCUGUUUCUCUCCAGAAGUCAGUUCCAUUCUUGUCCACAGCACCCUAGUUCCUUCCACAAGGCUGCUGGAACAACGGCUGCUACUGGACCUUGGCCCCAAAUGUUUCCAGCUUCAGGAAUAGGAUCUGUUGGAGCAACUCUCACAGAGAAGCCGUCUUUCUGCCAGUUCUCUUGAGUUAGUUGCCAGGGAAACCUCAAGCAGGAUUCUCAAGGAACAUUUGUGAAGAUGAUUUCAUGAUGGAGAGGGUCUAUGUUGACUGGUUCUCCCAUCAGCCUAAGUCUAAGAGUGGGGCGGCAGCAGGACCACUGGGAGAGCUCGAUAUGUGGCGUUUCUACAGUUCUAGGAAUAUACCG